CCUAAAGUCAAUUUGACUUAUCUUUAUUUUGCUGCAUCUGAAGUCCAGCAACUCACUUUCCUCUUUCUCUACUCCUUUCUCCCCUUUCUUUGUUCUUCUUUCCUCUUCCCUUCUUACACGGCAACAUCUCUCUCUUCCUUUCUCACCAAAAAUUUUAGUUUCUUUAAAGAAGAAAUUAAACAAUUAGCCUUAAGGUUUCAUCUUCAAAGUGUGUGGGUGUUACCAGUAUCCAAGUCUAAGCUCCUUCGACUUUAGGCUCUCGGUUCCUCUGCUUUCAGGUUAUGUCCUCUGGUGAUCUGAACUCGGCUAGUAAGGGUUAAUUAUUGGCUCUCCAUGGAAAAAAUGUUAUCUGUUUGGCCAUUUAAAGUAGAGAAAAUGGGGUUGCCCGUAACUCUAAUCUGAAUAAGGCCUUCUCCACAAUGUGUACGGACGGCGGGGAGGAACAAAACCUGGAGGGGAUGUGCCAUCAGGCCUCCCAAAGGGGACAAUAUCAUACACACGGGGGCACCCAAAUGUGAUGAGGCCUUCUCUGUACAGCUUAUCAGACAUGGACUAACCAAUAUGUUAUGAACAGCUAUGUUAUGUUAUUAAUCAUGAGAGAAUUCUUUUGUUUAAAUGCAUUAUGAAAAGUUAAAAGCUCUCAUGAAAAGAAGUUUAUGAUGAAAAGAAAAGCUGUUCAUUAAAGAUAAAAGUUUCUGAAGUUCUGUUGUGCUAUAAAGAUAAAGUUUCUAAUGAAAGUACAAGUUUAUGUUUAAAAGUUAUCAGAUAUCUGUUUUUAUGAAACGUUAAGUUUUAUGAUCAUAAAAGUUAUAGUAUUCUAUGAGAAGAAGUUUAUAA